GGGGACGGGACGGCCUUGGAAGAACGUUGAUUUAGUGUCUGGUGAAUCACUUCUGUGUUUUGUCAUCCUGCAGGGUGGAUUGAGGACCCGUUUUCAGAUUACUGGCAGAUACCACGAGACUUUUGUUUAAAAAUCUUCUGGAUGCUGACAAGUAAACAAGCAACAACUUUGCACACAUCUCAUUGUCACAUGAAACUUCAGAGAAGUACUCACCGUUUUCUGGGGAGUGUGCCGAGCUUUGACCUAAAGACAAAAAUAAGAAGCCGAAUGCCAGUGGAAACAUGCUGUUGCUUUAGAUCCUCCAAAUAUCCAACAGAUGAACUGAAAUGAUCUGUUUGCCAGAUAUGUUUCUGAAGUCUUUUUACUCUGCGAGCAUUUAGCAAACUGGAGAGCAAUGAGGAUAGCCCGCCCUCAGCACCAUAGAUCUCCUCCCCUCAACUGAGAAUAUGAAGCAUCAAUCUGAAACUGAGAGCUUAAAAUAUUUUUCUACUGAAAAGUCAAAAGGUUGGAAAUUAACUCAUUUUUCCUUUUUCUUUUUGUUGUGCAUUUAACCUAUAUAAUAGGCUCACUCUGAUUAAAAUUAAAAAGCCUCGACAAACAAUUGUUGAUAUAUGAAAUUUAUUUUGCACAUUGGUUAAAGAUUCAGAUAGUUAUAUAGUAAUAGGAGCAACAUUAAAAGAGAUCUCUAUUAACUUUAUUGUUGAAUUAAAACAUUUUAGAUAUU